CCCUAGAGCGGCGGACGGGUGAGUAACACGUGGACAAUCUCGCCCCCCGGCCCGGGAUACGCCCGAGGGAAACCUGGAUUAAUACCGGAUGAGACCGGGACCCGCGAAGGCGGGACCGGGAAGGCGCUGCGGCGCCGCCGGGGGAUGAGUCUGCCGUCCCAUUAGCUAGACGGCGGGGUAACGGCCCACCGUGGCGACGAUGGGUAGCCGGCCUGAGAGGGUGGACGGCCACAUUGGAACUGAGACACGGUCCAGACUCCUACGGGAGGCAGCAGCUAAGAAUCUUCCGCAAUGGGCGAAAGCCUGACGGAGCGACGCCCGCGUGAACGAAGAAGGCCGUGAGGUUGUAAAGUUCUUUCGGGAGGGGGAACAACCGUGGCAGGGAAUGGCCGCGGGAUGACGUGAAUCCCGGAAUAAGCCCCGGCUAACUACGUGCCAGCCGCUGC
rnacentral:rRNA from 1 species